ACCGCUGCAAGUUAGCACUGGACAAAGUAGCAUCAACUUCUUCAUUUAGAGUUUCUUCAGUUAAAUUGCUGGGAUUUUCGACAAGGCUUUCCUUAUGUGGAUUAUUGGAGUGUGAUGCCUGAGAAUUCUCUACUUGUAGAAGCACGCCCACGGGACUGCAGAAGCCUUCACACCCACCCAGCACGCUCAGAAAGUACUGUCUUCAACCUUACCAAUGUCAGUGGCGGCGACGGUGGCGUCACCAUCACCAUCAGAGAAAAAGAAAUAUGCCUUUAUGUCAUGAUGGGAAUGAGUGAUGGCCAUCCAGUGACCAGCUGGAUCUGACUGCCUUACAAGACGCAUGUGUAUGAUUAAGAGAGAGACAUUCGUGACUCCCAGAUGUACCUCCUUCCUGUCCCACAGUGUUCCUGAAGGGAGUGAGUUAUGGGGUAACUUAUAACACAGCAGGCUCUUCCUCAAGAUAGCUCUUGUCAAAACAGGAAGACGAAACUCGGGUUUCCAUGAGGAGACCACAGCUUGGGAUCCUGUCUGGAUGUACAAGCAGAAGCAUCUUCAUACUUUUCCAUUUCUAACCGUCAUGCCUCACCCCACCCUCCCAAGGCGACAUCUGCAGAGAGGUGGAACCAUCUAGGGAGGCCUGCCACUGUUUGCUGAGCUCCGGGUGAGGAUGAAGACACUUUGACAUGGCCAGCUUCAGACUCGGGAUCUGUCGGUGUUAGCAGCCGAAGGAGAAUGAGGAGGAAGAGGAGGAGAAAGAGGAGGAGGAAGUAAGACAGAGGGGGACAAGAGGACCAAGAGGGCACAUGGCUGAGGAGGAGGAGAAC
ensembl:processed_transcript